GUAAAUAUAGUUUAAUCAAAGCAUUAGAUUGUGGGUCUAAUAAUACAAGUCUGCAACUUUUUAUUUACU
rnacentral:tRNA from 1 species